rnacentral:rRNA from 1 species
GACGCUGGCGGCCGCCUAACACAUGCAAGUCGAACGAAGUAGCAGUACUUAGUGGCAACUGGGUGAGUAUGAUGUGGGUAUCUGCCCUUUGGUAUGGAAUAACACGAGGAAACUUGUGCUAAUACUGUAUAAGCCUUCACAGGGAAAGCUUUAUGCGCCGAAGGAUGAGCCCGCACUUGAUUAGCUAGUUGGUAAGGUAAUAGCUUACCAAGGCUACGAUCAAUAGCUGAUCUGAGAGGAUGAUCAGCCACAUUGGGACUGAGACACGGCCCAAACUCCUACGGGAGGCAGCAGUGGGGAAUCUUGCACAAUGGGGGAAACCCUGAUGCAGCGAUGCCGCGUGAGUGAAGAAGGCCUUUGGGUUGUAAAGCUCUUUCGUCGGGGAAGAAAAUGACUGUACCCGAAUAAGAAGGUCCGGCUAACUUCGUGCCAGCAGCCGCGGUAAUACGAAGGGACCUAGCGUAGUUCGGAAUUACUGGGCUUAAAGAGCUCGUAGGUGGUUAGAAAAGUUAGUGGUGAAAUCCCAAGGCUUAACCUUGGAACUGCCACUAAAACUUUUUAACUAGAGUAUGGUAGAGGUAAGCGGAAUUUCUAGUGUAGAGGUGAAAUUAGUAGAUAUUAGAAAGAACCCCAAUUGCGAAAGGCAGCUUUCUGGAUCAUUACUGACACUGAGGAGCGAAAGCAUGGGUAGCCGAAGAGGAUUAGAUACCCUCGUAGUCCAUGCUGUAAACGAUGUGUGCUAGACGUGGAAAUUUAUUUUUCAGUGUCGCAGCAAACGCGUUAAGCACACCGCCUGGGGAGUACGACCGCAAGCGAUAAACUCAUGAUACG